GCACAUACUGUGAGCUCGAUGAGUAGGGCGGGACACGUGGUAUCCUGUCUGAAUAUGGGGGGACCAUCCUCCAAGGCUAAAUACUCCUGACUGACCGAUAGUGAACCAGUACCGUGAGGGAAAGGCGAAAAGAACCCCGGCGAGGGGAGUGAAAAAGAACCUGAAACCGUGUACGUACAAGCAGUGGGAGCACAGAGCAAUCUGUGUGACUGCGUACCUUUUGUAUAAUGGGUCAGCGACUUAUAUUCUGUAGCAAGGUUAACCGAAUAGGGGAGCCGAAGGGAAACCGAGUCUUAACUGGGCGUUAAGUUGCAGGGUAUAGACCCGAAACCCGGUGAUCUAGCCAUGGGCAGGUUGAAGGUUGGGUAACACUAACUGGAGGACCGAACCGACUAAUGUUGAAAAAUUAGCGGAUGACUUGUGGCUGGGGGUGAAAGGCCAAUCAAACCGGGAGAUAGCUGGUUCUCCCCGAAAGCUAUUUAGGUAGCGCCUCGUGAAUUCAUCUCCGGGGGUAGAGCACUGUUUCGGCAAGGGGGUCAUCCCGACUUACCAACCCGAUGCAAACUGCGAAUACCGGAGAAUGUUAUCACGGGAGACACACGGCGGGUGCUAACGUCCGUCGUGAAGAGGGAAACAACCCAGACCGCCAGCUAAGGUCCCAAAGUCAUGGUUAAGUGGGAAACGAUGUGGGAAGGCCCAGACAGCCAGGAUGUUGGCUUAGAAGCAGCCAUCAUUUAAAGAAAGCGUAAUAGCUCACUGGUCGAGUCGGCCUGCGCGGAAGAUGUAACGGGGCUAAACCAUG
rnacentral:rRNA from 1 species